rnacentral:rRNA from 1 species
AUUGAACGCUGGCGGCAGGCCUAACACAUGCAAGUCGAGCGGAUGACGGGAGCUUGCUCCUUGAUUCAGCGGCGGACGGGUGAGUAAUGCCUAGGAAUCUGCCUGGUAGUGGGGGACAACGUCUCGAAAGGAACGCUAAUACCGCAUACGUCCUACGGGAGAAAGCAGGGGACAUUCGGGCCUUGCGCUAUCAGACGAGCCUAGGUCGGAUUAGCCAGUUUGUGGGGUAAUGGCUCACAAAGGGGAAGAUCCGUAACUGGUCUGAGAGGAUGAUCAGUCACACUGGAACUGAGAAACGGUCCAGACUCCUACGGGAGGCAGCAGGGGGGAAUAUUGGACAAUGGGCGAAAGCCUGAUCCAGCCAUGCCGCGUGUGUGAAGAAGGUCUUCGGAUUGUAAAGCACUUUAAGUUGGGAGGAAGGGCAGUAAGUUAAUACCUUGCUGUUUUGACGUCACCGACAUAAUAAGCACCGGCUAACUCUGUGCCAGCCGCCGCCGUAAAAC